rnacentral:tRNA from 1 species
GGUUCCGUAGCUCAAUGGAUAGAGCAUCGCGUUGCGGGUGCGAAGGUUCGAGGUUCGAGUCGUCGCGGGACUACCA